UGAGGAACAUGACUUUCGGCGGGGGAUAGCCGGCCCAACGGCCGGGUAAUACCGCGUACGACCUUUUGGGGACAUCCCCGAUUGGUGAAAGCAGCAAUGCGCCGAAAGAGUGCCUCGCGGCCUAUCAGCUAGUUGGUGGGGUAAUGGCUCACCAAGGCGACGACGGGUAGCUGGUCUGAGAGGAUGGCCAGCCACAUUGGGACUGAGACGCGGCCCAGACUCCGUACGGGAGCAG
rnacentral:rRNA from 1 species